rnacentral:rRNA from 1 species
GACGAACGCUGGCGGCGUGCUUAACACAUGCAAGUCGAGCGGUAAGGCCCUUUCGGGGGUACACGAGCGGCGAACGGGUGAGUAACACGUGGGUGACCUGCCCUCAGCUCUGGGAUAAGCCUGGGAAACCGGGUCUAAUACUGGAUAUGACUCCAUGACGCAUGUUGUGGGGUGGAAAGCCUUGUGCGGCUGAGGAUGGGCCCGCGGCCUAUCAGCUUGUUGGUGGGGUGAUGGCCUACCAAGGCGACGACGGGUAGCCGGCCUGAGAGGCGACCGGCCACACUGGGACUGAGACACGGCCCAGACUCCUACGGGAGGCAGCAGUGGGGAAUCUUGGACAAUGGGCGCAAGCCUGAUCCAGCCAUGCCGCGUGAGUGAUGAAGGCCUUAGGGU